UCCGGUAUGGUCUCGAGGUUUUUUGGACGUCUGGCUUUCACCCAGGAGGUUCGGGUUCGAUUCCCGAUACCGGAA